rnacentral:tRNA from 1 species
GCGGCCGUCGUCUAGCCUGGUUUAGGACGUAGGCCUCCCAAGCCUAUGGUCCCGGGUUCAAAUCCCGGCGGCCGCACCA